AACGAACGCUGGCGGCAGGCCUAACACAUGCAAGUCGAACGCCGUAGCAAUACGGAGUGGCAGACGGGUGAGUAACGCGUGGGAACAUACCCCUCGGUUCGGAAUAACUCAGGGAAACUUGAGCUAAUACCGGAUACGUCCGAGGUUUUAAUCGGCCUUGGAGAAAGAUUUAUCGCCGGAGGAUUGGCCCGCGUCUGAUUAGC
rnacentral:rRNA from 1 species